UCGAGAAUAUUCGACAAUGGGCGAAAGCCUGAUCGAGCGACGCCGCGUGCAGGAUGAAGGCCCUCGGGUUGUAAACUGCGGUAGUAGGGGAGGAACGCAAGUGACUGUACCCUACGGAAAGUGGUUGGUAACUACGUGCCAGCACCAGCGGUAAUACGUAGACCACAAGCGUUAUCCGGAUUUACUGGGCGUAAAGGGCAUGUAGGCGGUUAUAUUAGUCUGAUGUAAAAGACCCGGGCUUAACCUGGGAUAUGCAUUGGAAACGGUAUAGCUAGAGUAUGGGAGAGGGAAGUGGAAUUUCCGGUGUAGCGGUGAAAUGCGUAGAGAUCGGAAAGAACACUCGUGGCGAAGGCGGCUUUCUGGCCCAUAACUGACGCUGAGGUGCGAAAGCAUGGGGAGCAAACAGGAUUAGAUACCCAGUAGUCCCUGAGCGGGCUGGCAAGGCGCAU
rnacentral:rRNA from 1 species